rnacentral:rRNA from 1 species
UACGGAGGGUGCGAGCGUUGUCCGGAAUCAUUGGGCGUAAAGGGCGCGUAGGUGGCGGGACAAGCGUGCGGUGAAAGCCUGGGGCUCAACCCCGGGUCGGCCGUGCGAACUGUUUUGCUUGAGCACUGUAGAGGCAGGCGGAAUUCCGGGUGUAGCGGUGAAAUGCGCAGAUAUCAGGAGGAACACCGGUGGCGAAGGCGGGUCUCUGGGCCGAUACUGACGCUGAGGAGCGAAAGCGUGGGGAGCGAACAGG